GUGCCAGCAGCCGCGGUAACACGUAGGGGACGAGCGUUGUCCGGAUUUAUUGGGCGUAAAGCGCGCGUAGGCGGUCGUGCAAGUCGGUUGUGAAAUCCCGGGGCUCAACCCCGGGACUGCGUCCGAAACUGUGCGACUGGAGGCAGGUAGGGGAGAUCGGAAUUCCUGGUGUAGCGGUGAAAUGCGCAGAUAUCAGGAGGAACACCGGUGGCGAAGGCGGAUCUCUGGGCCUUGCCUGACGCUGAGGCGCGAAAGCUAGGGGAGCGAACAGGAUUAGAUACCCCCGUAGUCC
rnacentral:rRNA from 1 species